rnacentral:rRNA from 1 species
AAGACCUUUCAUCAGGUGGGAUUACCCGCUGAACUUAAGCAUAUCAAUAAGCGGAGGAAAAGAAACUAACAAGGAUUCCCCUAGUAACGGCGAGUGAAGAGGGAAAAGCCCAAAUUUGUAAUCUGGCUCUUUUAGAGUCCGAGUUGUAAUUUUGAGAACUGUUUUCAGUGCUGGACCAUGUUUAAGUCUGUUGAAAAACAGCAUCAUUGAGGGUGAUAAUCCCGUUCAUGAUAUGGACUACCAGUACUUUAUGAUACAGUCUCUAAGAGUCGAGUUGUUUGGGAAUGCAGCUCAAAGUGGGUGGUAAAUUCCAUCUAAGGCUAAAUAUAGGUGAGAGACCGAUAGCAAACAAGUACCGUGAGGGAAAGAUGAAAAGAACUUUGGAAAGAGAGUUAACAGUACGUGAAAUUGCUGAAAGGGAAACAAUUGAAGUUAGCCUUGUUAUUGUCAGUUCAGCUCUUUUAGAGUGUAUUCUGAUGAUUAACGACCAACAUCAGUCUUUGAGUGCUGGAUAAGGGUUUUGGAAAUGUAGCAGUCUCGGCUGUGUUAUAGUCCAUUACUUUGAUACAGUGCUUGGGAUUGAGGAUCGCAGUAAGCCAUUUUAUGGUGGACCAAAUUUUUGGUCUUCUUACUGAGGAUGUUGGUGAAAUAGCU